CCUACGGGCGGCAGCAGUGAGGAAUAUUGGUCAAUGGACGAGAGUCUGAACCAGCCAAGUCGCGUGAAGGAUGACUGCCCUAUGGGUUGUAAACUUCUUUUAUAAAGGAAUAAAAUGAGGCACGUGUGCCUUUUUGCAUGUACUUUAUGAAUAAGGAUCGGCUAACUCCGUGCCAGCAGCCGCGGUAAUACGGAGGGUCCGAGCGUUAUCCGGAUUUAUUGGGUUUAAAGGGAGCGUAGAUGGGUUGUUAAGUUAGUUGUGAAAGUCUGCGGCUCAACCGUAAAAUUGCACUUAAUACUGGCAGUCUUGAGUGAAGUAGAGGUAGGCGGAAUUCGUGGUGUAGCGGUGAAAUGCUUAGAUAUCACGAAGAACCCCGAUUGCGAAGGCAGCUUACUAAACUGUGACUGACGUUGAUGCUCGAAAGUGUGGGUAUCAAACAGGAUUAGAUACCCGGGUAGUC
rnacentral:rRNA from 1 species